UACGUAGGGUGCGAGCGUUAAUCGGAAUUACUGGGCGUAAAGCGUGCGCAGGCGGUUUUGUAAGCCAGAUGUGAAAUCCCCGGGCUUAACCUGGGAACUGCAUUUGUGACUGCACGGCUAGAGUGUGUCAGAGGGGGGGGUAGAAUUCCACGUGUAGCAGUGAAAUGCGUAGAUAUGUGGAGGAAUACCGAUGGCGAAGGCAGCCCCCUGGGAUAACGACUGACGCUCAUGCACGAAAGCGUGGGGAGCAAACAGG
rnacentral:rRNA from 1 species